UACGUAGGGGGCUAGCGUUGUCCGGAAUCAUUGGGCGUAAAGAGCGUGUAGGCGGCUCGAUAAGUCUGCUAUGAAAGUCCAGGGCUCAACCCUGGAAGGCCGGUGGAAACUGUCGGGCUAGAGUCCGGAAGAGGCGAGUGGAAUUCCCGGUGUAGCGGUGAAAUGCGCAGAUAUCGGGAGGAACACCAAUGGCGAAGGCAGCUCGCUGGGACGGUACUGACGCUGAGACGCGAAAGCGUGGGGAGCGAACAGG
rnacentral:rRNA from 1 species